rnacentral:rRNA from 1 species
AAUAAGCGGAGGAAAAGAAACUAACAAGGAUUCCCCCAGUAACGGCGAGUGAACAGGGAAGAGCCCAGCACCGAAUCCGCUGCCCUGCAAGGCAGAGGGACCUGUGGUGUGUGGGACGGUGGCAUUGGUGCGAGCGUCGGGCAUCCGAGACUCCAUGAUCGGUGCCCUGCCCAAGGCGGGUGUGUGGCCCUUACGAAAGCCCGUCGCUCGUCCGUGCUCCGUCUCUGGAGUCGGGUUGUUUGGUAAUGCAGCCCAAAGUGGGUGGUAAGCUCCAUCUAAGGCUAAAUACAAUACCUCGAGUCCGAUAGCGGACAAGUACCGUAAGGGAAAGUUGAAAAGAACUUUGAAGAGAGAGUUCAAGAGUACGUGAAACCGCUUAGAAGGAAACGGAUGGAUGUGCACGUACACGGCCACCCGCGGGAUUCAGCUGGCGUUCGGGGCCCCUCGCUCUCGCCGAUACUUCGGCAGGUGGCGUUUGCGGGCACCGCGACGUCGGUGCAUUUCCCGCGUGUGUGGCGGCCGCGGCCGGUCCAGGCUUGGCCAGACGAGCUCGGAGAAGGUAGCGCGUAGCUGCGGCGGCUUGCCGUCGUGGCACUCGUCUUACAGCUCCGGGUCUGCCUGCGUCGUCAGGCUGGGACCGAGUAGUGCCUGUGGUGCUAACGGCACCCGGCGAUCGCGCUCAGUCUCACCGGGCCGUACCCCUCCCGGGUGCGCCGGUGCGAGCGUCCGCUGGGAGUUGCGCGGUGAUUGUCAGUCACUAACCCAUCC